UUCAUGUCCCGACCGCACUUUCACGAUCAAAAACUUUCCCGCACCCGCUCCCGCACCCGAGCGCUCGGACCGUCCCGCAACCCGCUCCGAUUCCCGAUUUUCAAUGAAUCAAUAAUUUUAAUAAUUGUUACAAAUCUAUUACAAAAUUUUUGUGACAAAGUUUCGUCGAAAAGUUUAAUGGAUACGCAUUUUCUAGAAGACUAGACCUGCAUGAUAAAUCUUACUUUUACUUUUCAAAAAAACUGAACUUGGCUCGUAAUUAUAACUUAUACAAUUGCCGUAAAUAUAUUUUCUUUCGAAACCGACGUUUGCGUCACAGGAGCUACGGAGCUAGCCGCCGCUUAUCAAAUCGCUGUAUCGCAACUGGAUUCGCUUUGAAUCAGAGACCCACCCUAAGACACCAACUUUCGCGCGAAGCUGACGCACUUUUUGGCUGCGAAAAUUGCUAGAAAUUCUAUAAAAAAUUUUUUAAUUCAAAGAAAUCCCGUGUUUUCCCGAGUAGCGGGCGGGCGUACUAAUCAGGCUAUAUUCCCGACCGCACCCGAUCCGAGCAGAAAGCCUCCCGCACCGCUUUCCGAGCAAAAGCGGGUGCGGGAUGCGGGAAAUUCCCGUGAUUUACCGAGCCCGUGAAAAAACGGGACAUCACUGAAUGUUACUUCGAACGUGCAAAUUGUAAAGCAUAAUUUUUAGAUUUACGGGCCAGAGCGGUUCUCAUACAUUUCGUUUAUUUCUUCGUUCAGCUCGGGAUUAACAGUUUUGGUAAUAACUCUAGCGUGACACUAAAUAAUUUACCUGUUCGUUAUCAUACUGCGAGAUCAGUCAUGGAGCCUAAUAAAAGUCUGGACCAACACGAAGAUGAGCCUGGCACUCCACCUCAGCCAGCAUCGUCGAUUCCUGGUGCACCGGGACUUCACACGUCAACCCCCAGCCGCGCAGUGUUAGGUCGGUUCGGCGGCGAGAGUAAUGCGACCAUUUCGUCGAUCGGAUCGGACAGCGUAAGCACAGGCGUAAGUAAGGAUCAGACAUCCGUAGAUCGAGCGAACAACGGAACGUACGAGAUCAGCAGUUUCACGGACUUCGCCGAUCAUUCUCGUCGCUUGACUGCCGUGGAGAACCAGAUGACUGGAAUCCAGAAUCAGAUAACCGAAGUUCAAGAUCGCGUGACCGGACUGGAAGGCAAGAUGGACGCACUCGACGCAGGCCUGAAAGAGGUCCAAGAUGAACAGAAAGAAAUCCGAAAGGUCCAGAAAGAAAUUCAAGAAACGCAGAAAGAAAUCCAAGAAUCACAAAAUCAGAUACUGGCUUUCCUGUGCGCGAAACAGCCUUGAGAUUCUGCGUUAAUGGUUUUUGCUUAACAGCACAAUAAAAAAACUUAAAAGGAUACUUGAGGAGAAUUCCGACUAUCGACCGUACAUA